UCUGUAGUCUGUCUGUGUGGGGCUGUAGUCUGGAGUCUGUCUGUGUGGGGCUGUAGUCUUGAGUCUGUCUAUGUGGGGCUGUAGUCUGGAGACUGUCUGUGUGGGGCUGUAGUCUGGAGACUGUCUGUGUGGGGCUGUAGUCUUGAGUCUGUCUGUGUGGGGCUGUAGUCUGUAGUCUGUCUGUGUGGGGCUGUAGUCUGGAGACUGUCUGUGUGGGGCUGUAGUCUGGAGACUGUCUGUGUGGGGCUGUAGUCUUGAGUCUGUCUGUGUGGGGCUGUAGUCUGUAGUCUGUCUGUGUGGGGCUGUAGUCUGGAGUCUGUCUAUGUGGGGCUGUAGUCUGGAGACUGUCUGUGUGGGGCUGUAGUCUGGAGUCUGUCUGUGUGGGGCUGUAGUCUGGAGUCUAUCUAUUGCUAUCCAUGUGUAUGUGACCAAAGACAAUUGAUUUGAUUUGAAUAUUGGUUUCUAUCUUUUUCUUUCUCUGUCUUAACUUUUAACACUUGUACAUCCAAAUGAUCUUAUCUUCCACUACCUCCGUGUGGUCGUGUUCACUUUUAAAGGGGAGUACUGAUAUAACAAAUAUGAUGGAAACUCGGUCUAGCCUUGGCUUAAAACCAAGUCAAUACUUGACUGUAAAAUGUAUCAGAAGUGUGAAACAUUCAGGAGAGAAGAAAGACAAAGAGGUAAGAUAAAAGGAGAGUAUUAGUUUGACUGUGUUCAGAUGUGUAGGGUUAAUCUGGAUACAAACUAGAUGUUUGUUUUUUUCACUUGUAGAGGAAAAAGGAAGUGCUACUAGAGCACACAAUAGUAGAUAUUUGUAGAUAGAAGGUGACCUUCGGUAGAGGGGUAUUUGCCAUCAAAAAGAAAGGAGGACCAAGGCACUCCUCAUAUAAUUAAGGCAUGUUCAAUUGAACAAAGAUUUUAAAAACUCUGACGCGUUUUCGACAGCAAAGCCUUUCGUCGGGGAGUGCUUUGAUUUAUUAUUGUUUCAGUGUGGAUUCCAGGCUAGAGUAGGUCCUAUAGAUCCCCAGUAGCAGACUGCUUCCAGUACUAUAAACAGACGCCCUCCAGGAGGUGACCCACAACUAAUAAACACACUCCUCUAAAGGUACACCAUGCUGCUCUGCUCACCAAGCUACAGAACACCAUGCUGCUCUGCUCACCAAGCUACAGAACACCAUGCUGCUCUGCUCACCAAGCUACAGAACACCAUGCUGCUCUGCUCACCAAGCUACAGAACACCAUGCUGCUCUGCUCACCAAGCUACAGAACACCGUGCUGCUCUGCUCACCAAGCUACAGAACACCAUGCUGCUCUGCUCACCAAGCUACAGAACACCGUGCUGCUCUGCUCACCAAGCUACAGAACACCGUGCUGCUCUGCUCACCAAGCUACAGAACACCAUGCUGCUCUGCUCACCAAGCUACAGAACACCAUGCUGCUCUGCUCACCACGCUACAGAACACCGUGCUGCUCUGCUCACCAAGCUACAGAACACCGUGCUGCUCUGCUAACCAAGCUACAGUAACACCGUGCUGCUCUGCUCACCAAGCUACAGAACACCGUGCUGCUCUGCUCACCAAGCUACAGUACACCAUGCUGCUCUGCUCACCAAGCUACAGAACGCCGUGCUGCUCUGCUCACCAAGCUACAGUAACGCCGUGCUGCUCUGCUCACCAAGCUACAGAACACCGUGCUGCUCUGCUCACCAAGCUACAGAACACCAUGCUGCUCUGCUCACCAAGGUACAGAACACCGUGCUGCUCUGCUCACCAAGCGACAGUAAUGCUCCAUUUAAUGUCCAUGUGUCUGUGUGUUUAGGUGUGUCCGUGCACCUAACAGAAGAACAUACAUUAUUGUAUAUACAUUAUUACAUUAUUGCCGAUUGUCUGUUUCAGAUCAUGGGAAUUCAUAUUUUUUCAUUUGAACCCGUUCAGAAACACAGAAACACAACGAGGGGCUGUGGAAUUAUUCCUGAUGAUAUAGGAGAACCAACAAUGUUGUAUAGAUGGUCUCGGCUACAGUAAGAGCUUCAUUUAAUAAGGCUCUGGGAAACUGCAUCAAACCGGAUACCACAAUGGAUUCACCCCUACUACAGCCUCCAUUAUUACCACUAAGUAUGCUCUUCUGUCAAGUAUGGCAGGUGCUAAUGUGUGUCCCAGAGUGGAGAGAGGAGAGGAGAGGAGAG